UGGUUCGCCGCCUGCGAUGCUGCGAGAAGUCCAUUGAGCCUUAUCAUUUAGAGGAAGGAGAAGUCGUAACAAGGUUUCCGUAGGUGAACCUGCGGAAGGAUCAUUG
rnacentral:rRNA from 1 species